UGAGCUGGGUGGGGCCGCAGAGACCAGUGAGAAGCGACUGUUUACUAAAAACACAGGUCCGUGCGAAGUCGUAAGACGAUGUAUACGGACUGACGCCUGCCCGGUGCUGGAAGGUUAAGAGGACCGGUUAGCCAGUAAUGGCGAAGCUGAGAAUUUAAGCCCCAGUAAACGGCGGUGGUAACUAUAACCAUCCUAAGGUAGCGAAAUUCCUUGUCGGGUAAGUUCCGACCUGCACGAAUGGCGUAACGACUUCUCAGCUGUCUCAACCAUAGACUCGGCGAAAUUGCAUUACGAGUAAAGAUGCUCGUUACGCGCGGCAGGACGAAAAGACCCCGGGACCUUCACUACAGCUUGGUAUUGGUGUUCGGUUCGGUUUGUGUAGGAUAGGUGGGAGACUGUGAAGCGGUGACGCCAGUUACUGUGGAGUCGUUGUUGAAAUACCACUCUGAUCGUAUUGGAUACCUCAACCUCGGACCAUGAUCUGGUUCAGGGACAGUGCCUGGUGGGUAGUUUAACUGGGGCGGUUGCCUCCUAAAAUGUAACGGAGGCGCCCAAAGGUUCCCUCAGCCUGGUUGGCAAUCAGGUGUCGAGUGCAAGUGCACAAGGGAGCUUGACUGUGAGACUGACAAGUCGAGCAGGGACGAAAGUCGGGACUAGUGAUCCGGCACCGGCAAGUGGAAGCGGUGUCGCUCAACGGAUAAAAGGUACCCCGGGGAUAACAGGCUGAUCUUCCCCAAGAGUCCAUAUCGACGGGAUGGUUUGGCACCUCGAUGUCGGCUCGUCGCAUCCUGGGGCUGGAGUAGGUCCCAAGGGUUGGGCUGUUCGCCCAUUAAAGCGGCACGCGAGCUGGGUUUAGAACGUCGUGAGACAGUUCGGUCUCUAUCCGCCGCGCGCGUAAGAAACUUGAGGAAGGCUGUCCCUAGUACGAGAGGACCGGGACGGACGAACCUCUGGUGUGCCAGUUGUUCCACCAGGAGCACCGCUGGUUGGCUACGUUCGGAAGGGAUAACCGCUGAAAGCAUCUAAGCGGGAAGCCUGUUCCAAGAUGAGGUUUCUCACCCCCUCGAGGGGGUAAGGCCCCCGGCAGACCACCGGGUUGAUAGGCCAGAACUGGAAGUCGGGUAACCGAUGCAGGUGACUGGUACUAAUAGGCCGAGGACUUACCACA
rnacentral:rRNA from 1 species